CGUCAUCGCCGCUCUUUUUUCUCUGGAAAGGCGACCGGAAUUUUUGAGAGUGAACUAAAAUCGAUCGACGCCAUAUCCAACCCUAAGCUCCGAUUUCUCUCCCAUGGCUGCCGGCUUCUCUCUCCCUUCCUACCCGCUCCUUUCUCUCCAAUUGUUCCCACCUAAACCGUCUCUCUUCACCGCCCCCUGUCUCGUCCGUUCUCCCUCUCGCCAUCCCGAGAAGUGGCGAUUCCUCGUGUCUCCGUCUCUUUCUUCCGCUUCCGUCGCGAGCCCUUCGCUCAAUCCCCUCGUGGGCUCGCUAAAGGAGAAGGCGGGCCAUUUGAAGGGCACCAAGUGGAGGGAUCUCUGGAGCCUGAACAGUUGGGUCGUCCGAGAUUACUACCGGCUCGUUACCUUUGUCAAUGCUUUUGAGCCCCAGAUGUUGAAUCUGUCUGACGAACAGCUCAGAGGGAAGACCGCCGAAUUCCGCCAACGGUUGAGCCAAGGAGAAACUCUAGCUGAUAUCCAAGCGGAGGCAUUUGCUGUUGUUCGGGAAGCUGCCAGAAGGAAGCUUGGCAUGCGUCAUUUUGAUGUUCAGAUUAUUGGUGGAGCAGUGCUUCAUGAUGGGUGUAUAGCAGAGAUGAAGACUGGUGAAGGAAAAACACUCGUAUCCACACUUGCUGCUUAUUUGAAUGCACUCACAGGACAUGGAGUUCACGUGGUGACUGUUAAUGACUACUUGGCCCAGCGGGAUGCUGAGUGGAUGGGCAGCAUUCAUCGUUUCCUUGGCCUUUCUGUGGGUCUUAUACAGGGGGGCAUGAAGGCUGAUGAGAGGAGAUCCAACUAUUGUUGUGACAUUACAUACACUAAUAAUUCGGAACUAGGCUUUGACUAUCUCCGUGACAAUCUGUCAGGAAAUAAAAGGCAACUUGUUAUGAGAUGGCCAAGACCAUUUCAUUACGCCAUUGUUGAUGAAGUUGAUUCUGUCCUUAUUGAUGAAGGAAGAAACCCAUUAUUGAUCAGUGGUGAGGAUAGGAAAGAUGCUGCAAGAUAUCCAGUCGCUGCUAAAGUUGCUGAGCUGCUUGAACGAGGCAUUCAUUACAAUGUCGAGUUAAAAGACAAUUCUGUGGAUUUGACCGAAGAAGGAGUUGCUCUCAUGGAGAUGGUUCUUGAAACAAAUGACUUGUGGGAUGAAAAGGAUCCAUGGGCAAGAUUUCUAAUGAAUGCUUUGAAGGCUAAGGAAUUUUACCGCAGAGAUGUGCAAUACAUUGUCAGGGAUGGGAAAGCAUUGAUAAUAAAUGAGCUUACAGGGAGAGUUGAAGAAAAAAGGCGAUGGUCUGAAGGCAUUCAUCAAGCAGUAGAGGCAAAAGAAGGCCUGAAAAUUCAGGCUGAUUCGGUUGUUGUGGCCCAGAUAACAUAUCAAUCACUCUUUAAGCUUUAUCCUAAGCUUUCAGGGAUGACGGGGACUGCUAAGACUGAAGAGAAAGAAUUCUUGAAAAUGUUUCAAAUGCCUGUUGUUGAAGUCCCCACAAAUUUACCAAAUAUUCGAAUUGACUUACCUAUUCAAGCAUUUGCAACUGUAUGCGGGAAAUGGGAAUAUGUGCGGGAAGAAGUUGAGUCAAUGUUUCAAUUGGGUCGUCCUGUUUUAGUUGGAACGACAAGCGUUGAGAAUUCUGAAUAUUUAUCUGAUCUUCUCAGAGCCCGAAAUAUUCCUCAUAAUGUCCUCAAUGCAAGGCCAAAGUAUGCUGCACGGGAGGCUGAAAUUGUUGCCCAAGCUGGUAGAAAAUAUGCAAUUACAAUAUCUACUAACAUGGCAGGCAGGGGCACUGAUAUCAUUCUUGGUGGUAACCCAAAGAUGCUUGCUAAAAAAAUAAUAGAGGAUAACUUGCUGCCUUUUAUGGCACAAGAGGCUCCAGAUGUUGAAAAUGAUGGCGAGCAAAUUUCUCAAAAGGGUUUCUCAAAGAUAAAAAUAGGACCCUCAUCUUUAGCAUUGGUUGCGAAGGCUGCACUUAUAGCAAAACAUGUGUGCAAAAGCAAGCGAAAUGAUUGGCCAUAUGGGAAGGCAAAAUCUGUUAUCGCUGAGUCCAUACAAAUGAGUCAAUCACUUGGAAUGGAAGGACUCGAUAAUCAAUUGGAAGAAGAUUCAGAGAUUUAUCCCCUCAGUACUGCAGUAGCACUUGCUUACCUCGCUGUCUUGAAGGACUGUGAAACACAUUGUUUUAAUGAAGGGGUGGAAGUGAAAAUGUUGGGUGGGCUCCAUGUGAUUGGGACAUCAUUACAUGAGUCUCGCCGAAUAGAUAAUCAACUCCGUGGUAGAGCAGGACGACAAGGUGACCCUGGCUCAACAAGGUUUAUGGUGAGCUUACAGGAUGAGAUGUUUCAGAAGUUCAAUUUUGAUACUGAGUGGGCUGUGAAACUCAUAUCAAAGAUAACAAAUAAUGAGGAUAUACCAAUUGAGGGGCACACAAUUGUGAAACAGCUUUUGGCUCUUCAAAUAAAUGCAGAGAAGUACUUCUUUGGCAUAAGGAAGAGUCUUGUGGAGUUUGAUGAAGUCCUGGAGGUCCAGAGGAAGCAUGUCUAUAGCCUUAGACAACUGAUAUUAGCAGGUGGCUCUGAAAGCUGCUGUGAACAAGUAUUCCAAUACAUGCAAGCAGUAGUUGAUGAAAUUGUCCUUGAAAAUGCUGAUCCAGAAAAGCAUCCUAGUAAUUGGAGUUUGCGGAAACUCAUGGAUGAAUAUAUUCAGAUUGGCGGAAACAUAUUGGCCGAAUCAUUUGCAGAGGUCAGGGAAGAGGAACUACUGAUGUCCCUUGAGCAAAUUCAUGGGUUACGUAUAAUGGAGGUGGAAAAUUUCUCUCUUCCAAACUUGCCUAUACCUCCAAACACAUUCAGAGGAAUCCGCAAGAAAAUAUUGUCUUUAAGACGUUGGCUUGGUAUCUGUACUGAUGAGACAAUAAAGAAAGGAAGAUAUCAAGGGACCACUAACCUUCUUCGCAAGUAUCUUGGAGACUUUUUAAUUGCUUCUUAUUUAGAAGUUGUACAAGACUCUGGUUAUGAUGAUUCAUACAUUCAAGAAAUUGAGAGAGAAGUUAUUGUGAAGACACUAGAUUCUUUUUGGAGGGACCAUUUGAUAAAUAUGAACAGGCUCAGUUCAGCGGUGAAUGUCCGGAGCUUCGGGCACAGAAAUCCGCUGGAAGAGUAUAAAAUAGAUGGGUGUCGAUUUUUCAUCUCAAUGCUUAGUGCCACUCGAAGAAUGACUGUAGAAUCAUUACUCCAUUAUUGGUCAUCUCCGAUGGAAUCCACUGACUUGUACGCACCCUGAAAGUCAAACAUGAAGAAAAAGUAUCCACUGGACAUGACUGCUUUGCUGUGUUUAUUGCACGAACACGUGCGCCUCUUUUGCUGGGGUUUAUCGAGUUGCAGUAAACUUGGGGCUUUGAUCAUAAGAGCACUCGGGAAAUUUAUUCACAGGAGUAGUGAUGGAAGUGAGACUAUGCUUAGCCCAGCAUCGACUGCCACGGUCUUACCAUCGGUGCUUGAUGGUGGUGGCACAAAUCCAUCAAUUUGCCACCAUCUGUAUGAUGCCAUAUCUUGGGGUGGGCUUGGCACAGGAUUGUUCCAUUACCAUCGUAACAUCGAUUAGGUGUGCUGCACUAAUUAAAUAGUUUUACCAAAGUCCUCUAUAGAAGGAUAGUUUGAUGUUGUCGAGUCGACAUCUAGACAUUACAAAUAAGUACCUUGGCUUGCAACGACAAUGUGGUGCCUUUUCUCCGCAUGUUCGAUCGAGUCAAAACGAGAUUAGGUGAUAGAUACCUCACCGUCGCCUGGUGAUAGAUAGAAUGUAACUGAGACAUGCCAUGUAUCGACAGCAUGCAUCAACAUCAAGAAGCAACUCAAGAGCUUCCAGCUUGAAUACCACAUGUUACGAAGACAGACGGAUGCCUGGUUGGUUUGCAUCUCGACUGAGUCUGGGGAGGUGUCAUUGGCGGCUCAAAGUUCGUAAUGGGAUCCCAAACACCGCAUAAAUUUGUGUUGGAUGCCCGACACUGCAUCAGUGUGUCGUAAUGUGCCCGAUCCGCACCACCUACUAGCCAUCGGCAAGACAAAAGGCAGUGCCAAACAGCAUAUUCCGCAAGCUUGCAGCUACGUGACCGAACAACACAGAAUUUCAACUAUUAUGGUCGUGCCUUGCCGAGUAGUAAUAGCUUGGCAUGUCAGAGUGGCAGCAUUCGGAGUUGCGCCAGUUGACUAUGCUUCGAUGGGGCGACAAGGUAGGUCGGCAUCUCCAAUCUACAUCGACAACUACAUCAUGCUUUCGUAAGGAGGCUACUCGAUAUUGUCGAUCAGGUGCACAUCAUAUUACAACUGCUUAUUCUUUGAUGAGGUGAAGCCAUGACUAGGCAUGACCUAAGUUAUGGCCACAAAGUGUGUAUACAGAGAGCUCGACAAUUGUAGUGUCCCCCUCGGUCAC